AUUCUGGAUGAAUCUUUUUACUAACAUUCAAUUUAUGGCAUCCAUUCUUCGAUUUAAAAAGGGUUUAUAACUCGUUCUUUGCAUUGAGCCACAAAUCACGCACAUGUAUAUGAGUAAUUAAAUAAACAUCCAGAGUUUUUUGAGGAAUCGAACCAGCUUCUUCCACUCAUUAGUGUGCUUUUCAAAAGGGCAAUAUUUCUUGUCACAGGAAUUUCCAAAGGCCAAAGCAACAUCUUAAAAUGUUUUGAAGAAACUUGUAUUCUUUUUAAUUAGAGUCUCUCAGUAAGACAUGGUUACAAGUAGAUCAUCGAAAUCAAGCAUCAGUGAGUAAGUGGAUGACCAUUUUGAUCAGCCAACGAAGCGACCAAGUGUGCACGGUAUCGGUCCUCGGUAAACUGUUCUACCUUUAAGUGCUCGAUUUCACGCAGUUCGUUUGCCUAUCAUAGUGGACAAACCAUCCUCUCUGCUGAGGAUCGAAAUAGUGGUGACAUGUCUUCGGAACAUCCUCAGUAAUGUUCCCAGACAUUCGCCAAUAUCCUAUUGUGCAGCUUACUGCUUUUUAAUUAGAUUUAUCGAUACAGAUUAAUUAUUUUAAUCGAUAUGUUACACCCAAUGGAUAAAAGUUUGGCUAAGUUAUCAGGAUAUGAUUUCGGGAUAUGUUCACCUAGAAGCAUAAUUUGUAUAUUUUACGUUUUGCGGGUCUUCUUGUGAAAGUUGAGUUAAGGAUAAUUGUGAUUCAAACAUGAAGUGCACCGUAGUUUUCCUAGUACUUAUGGGUCUACUAAGCCUGGUACUAAGCGAACCUGUGCUUGAGAAUAACACCGAUGCCCGGAACGAUGAUAUGGAUGAAGAGUUCUGGAAUUUUACAAAUUUUACAAGCAACUUCAGGAGCGUCUACAGCCGAGUUUACGAAAGAGCUGAUCGCUAUGAUCUGGCAUCAUCUGUUCUCAGAGCUGUGUUCGAACACGCAUUCAAAGUCUACACUGCGGCUUAGCAUUUCUUAAGUUUACUUGAAGUUUUAUGUGUUUAAGAGUUUAAGAGUUUUAUGUGUUUAAGAGUUUUUAGGCCGUUAAAAAUGGCAUUCUUGAAGCUUUAAAAUAAUUUCAAAUAAAUUGGUAUUGGUCUUUUA